rnacentral:rRNA from 1 species
UACGAAGGGGGCUAGCGUUGUUCGGAAUCACUGGGCGUAAAGCGCACGUAGGCGGAUUUUAAGUCAGGGGUGAAAUCCCGAGGCUCAACCUCGGAACUGCCUUUGAUACUGGAGAUCUUGAGUCCGGAAGAGGUAAGUGGAACUGCGAGUGUAGAGGUGAAAUUCGUAGAUAUUCGCAAGAACACCAGUGGCGAAGGCGGCUUACUGGUCCGGAACUGACGCUGAGGUGCGAAAGCGUGGGGAGCAAACAGG